UGGGGUGCUGGGGGAGCGACGGGGAGGCGGGGUUAGCUGGGGGACACCCCUCCCGGUGCCCUGCAUCCCCUCCACACGCACCCCGCUGUGUCCAGGACAGCAGGGAGGCACCGGAGGUGCUCUAGUGCCCACCUUGGCCUGUCAAACCAAGUCACAUCCCCUCCCUCCAGUUUGGAUAUCUGAAUUGUCCAUCCCAUUCACGCACCUCUCCUCCCCCCUCCUCCUCCAGGGACUCCCUGUGCCUUCACUGGUGUGCAGAAAGAGCUUACGCGAGUCUUGACGUCCCUCACAAGGUCCAGGUAGGGCAUCCCUGGCUUCACCAUCAGCAUGUCCGCUCCCUCACGCACGUCCCGGUCCUGCAAGGGGAACACACGCAUGACCCCAGCAUCUCAGGGUAGAAUAAUAUUUUCCAGCAAGUCCAUGGUUGGUUUUCCCCAGAGGUUUUGACCUGGUGGCUGGUUUUCUGAGGAGGGAUCACAGAAGGGUCUAGUGGGCUCCUAAGGGCCACACGAGCCCAGAGGUGGGCUGUGACGCGGGAGAGCUGAUGCUCCCCUUGCCAGACGCACAGUGCCUGGGGAAAGCCUGCAGCUGCGUGUCCCUGGACCUGACACCCCACGUCACAGGAGGGUACAGGGUCACCAGCUCCACAGCUCCCAACACAUGGCCCUCACGCCCACACUGGGGACCUGCUCCCUCCCUCUCUCUCUCAAUUGAGAGGCAAAAGCCUUAGCCAUUUUGGCUGGUGUGCCUCCUACCACCUUCUGCCUCCAACAGCCCUGGGCUUGCUCUCCCCAAACCCAUGAGCCUUGGUGCUGCCCUGGGCAGCCUGACCCCGGCUCACUCACCACGGCACGUAUCGCUAGGCCCCUGGCACCUGGGGGCAGCUGGUAGCAUCGCCUGUCUCCGAAGGCAGGUUUGGAGAGUGCAGCAUCCCUGGUGACGGGCAAGACAGAGGGCAGGGUAUGAGGACCAGCGCAGAAACCUGUGCUGCUCACCUCGUCCAGCUUCAGAAACGUGAGGACAGACUAAGACAAGUGCCUGAGCUAUCGGGGCCUGGAAAGGGGGGGCUCUCCUGACCCACCUCAGCACCCCAGGAUUGCUCUGGGAGGUCCAACGGGCCCAGACUGGCCCUGGAGCUGUGCUUCAACGCCCGCUGCCCUCCCCAUGCCCAGAGUCUGGGGUAAAAUCAUGUCAGAUGUCUUCCUUUUGCUCUUUUCCGAGGCAGGUCCCUCAGGGAUGCACCAUCAAGGUCAGGCCUUUCUCAGACAAGGACUCUUAGAUGAGCUGAGCUUGUCCCUAAAGCCAUCCUUUGGGGCAACAGCAGCUCCUGUGACUCCCCCUCCUCACUACUCCUGGCAGCUGCAGAGGCAGCUUCCUCUCUGCCUGCCUUGCCACCAGCACCCAGGAUGAGCAGGUGAAGGGAUCACCCAAGGUUAUCUUCCCACCAGCCAGCCUCUCCUGGGCAAGGUAUGCUUGUCUCCCUUUUGCACUGGGAAGUAGGAGGAGAGUGCUCUAAAGCGACCAGCAUGGCCCCACCUGUGGCCCAGGCUCUGGCCGAGCCCUGCUCCCAAAUAACUAUCAGGGACACACCUCCCGGCCAGCCCGGUGCCAGCUGGGGACACUCCUGGCUGAGGGACAGACCCACCUGAAGGGACCAUAGAAGCACGAGGCAAACUUGGCGCUGUAGCUCAUCACUGAGACCUGCCGAGGAGAGCAGAGCUGUGAGGGCCAGAAGCUCAGUGCUGCAUCCCUGUGCUGGAGCAGUAGCAAUUCCCUCCCACGGCUGUUCUAUACUCUGCCCCAUGUCCUCCUUCCCCUGCCAGAGGCCUGGCGCCUUGCUGUCCCUGUGUCCAGCCAAGGACAUUCCCUUCCCGUGUGCCUGCAGCACAUCCUGGGCAAGGUGGAGGUUUGCUUCCUCCACCGCUUGCCCAGGACCUGUUGCGGUGUGCCUCCCCAUGGAUGUUGUUGCUGCCUUUGGCACACAGAUCCUGAGCUCACCUUGUUGCCCAAGUCAUUGGAGAUCAAUGCCGCCUUCAUGGCUGCGAUGCGCCCGUCCAUCAUAUCUGAGGGGGCAACGAUGUGGCAGCCUGCAGGGAAAGAGCAGACACGCCAAGAAGUGCUUGAGGCUGUGCCCCUGCCUGCAGGGGGUGACCCCAGGGCCAAGGGGCCCCAGGUGCCUGCAGCUCUGCCAGGGCCAGCACACGGAGGGCAGGGGGAGCCUCCCCUGGCUUGGAGCAAAAGCACUCCCAGUUGGAGCUAGGGCCAGUUUGCUUUUGGGCCUGCAGAAGGCAAGAGGGGGUGAGUCUGCAAGGGUCAAACUCAGGUAGUGCUGCCAGGAGACUCCUCACCUGCUUUGGCAUAGGCCAGUGCCACUUCUGCCAGCCGCUGGCAGCUGAUCUCAUUCUGGAUGGUGCCGUCUUCACGCAGGAUGCCUGGGAGACAAACCUGGAGUUAGGUGAGGGGGUGGACGGCCAGUUGCCUCAACCCCUAGGGUGGGAGCAUGGCUCUCGCUACACAGAUGCUCAGAGCAAUGGCAGGAAACAUGUUAAGGGAGCUGGAUAAGGACCAGAAAACCAACAACGCAGUCCUCAAAGGACUGGACACAACACGUGGGUGCUCCCAGGAAGGGAAGACAGAUGGGGUACACAGAGGGGUGCUCAGACAGACUCAAAUGAUCAGGAAUUGGGUGCCUUAACCACCUGUGCCUCCCACCCUGCUCUGAAAAUCUAGAAGUCUCUCGGGCUCAACUGCACCAGUACUGGGGAGCCAUGUCUUGGGGCAGAAGCUGGCCAGGCCCCACCAGCACUAAGAGCUCAGCAGAAAAUAGAAAUAGAAACCCCCAGAGACUCCCAGUCCCGGGAAGGUGGCCAAGGAGCAGCCCGUGACCCCAGGCUGUGCACUCACCGCAGUGCCCGUGGGAGGUGUAGGGGCACAAGCAGACAUCACAGGCUAUGAGCAGCUCUGGGAAGGUGGAGUGGAUCUUUCUGAUUGCCUGGAUGGCAGGUGUGUCCUCUGCAUCAGCAGCAGAGCCCCUCUCAUCCUGUGGGGAGAGAAAUGCUUCAGCCCGCAGAGCUGAGGGUGUCCCACCAACUCCUGCAUGGCAGCAGUUCUGCCCAAGAAAUGUUUUCUGAACCAUGAGACCAUGUAAUGGAGCGUGACCACCAGUAUGGAAGAGGGUGACAGAGUAGUGCCUCUGAGCAGUGAGUGCAGGUCUUGGGGCCACCUGCAACAGCUCCCAGCGCAAGGCUGUGUCAUGGGAAGUCAUAGGGGAGAUUCUCUCUCAAGUCAUCCACCCUGCUUUCUGCAGCACAGAGCUCCCUAUUCUCCUCUGCCCUACGGGGAUGCACCGCUUGGUCAAAGGGACAGAGGACACCCAGAGUCACCAGGAAUAUUUCGGGUGUCGCUACAGUCCCCCAUCCCCAUCCUGCUCUGUGGAGGGGGGCGCAGGCACACCCAGAGCCCCUGAACUGCUCCUGUUUGAUCAGGAGACCCCCCUGGCCCCGUACUGCUCUCCCACACCCCCUGCCACUACCACGCACACGUACCUUGUGGACCUUGCUGGGCACCCCGAAGAUGAGCACACACUUCAGACCAUCUUCAACGAGGGGACGCAGCAUCCCCUCCAGCUUGUUGACUCCAUACCUGACAAGAGGAAAGUGAAGGGGGCUGCCAGGCACCCAGACCUGCUCUGUGACUUGGAUGCUGGUCUGCAACUGAUCCACAAGCACUCAUGCCAAGCAGCAGCUGGAGGUACAGGGGAUGUGUUGCCUGAACAUUGGGAAGAACAAUCCAGGACCUUAUGUCUGGGGCCACAGCACUGUUAUCUACCCAGCAUGGACACUCUUUGCCCUGAAAGGACCAUGCCCUGCCCUUGGGUCCCUUAUCUCAGCUUCCUGGUUGCAGAUGCAGCAAUGUGUUCUGAGACAUCGUGAGACCCUGGCACUAUCCCUGCCAGUACUGGUACUUUCCCAGCAUCCCCAAUAUGAUUCCCUCCACUUCCAUGGUGGGCAAAUACUCCUGCCCUGCCCGAUGCUGCGUGAUCCCCAUGACAGGGACCACAGCAGGUUGGAAGCAUCACCCCUGGCCCACGCUCAUCUCAGGCCGUACAUCAACCCUGCUUGGGCACAGCAGCAAGUGGCAGGCAGCUCGGAGGGGCGGGGUUCUUACCUGGCUUGUCCAGGGAGGCUGGGGAUCGGCUCCACUGCAUCAGGGCUGUCACUGCAGGAGGUGGAUGAGACAGAGACGUGAGGACUUGGCAUGAGAAGGAAGCCGCCACCCCAGGCUUCUCCACAGGGAAUCUUCUGGGGAGUCUGAACCCUGAGCCAGUCAACCUGAGCUCGGUCCAUCCCUAACCCAGAGAGCCAGAGCUCACUCACGUGACAAAAAUGGGGUAGAUGAGGUUGGAGGCAUCAAAGGUGGUUGCUGUACACUGCCAGGAGCGUAGCACAGGGUGGAAGUAGCCGCUGUGAAGAAGGGAGUCUGCCUGCAUCUUGGGCGUUCACUAGGAGGCUGUGGAAGGAGACUGAAACAGCAAAAGAAACCGUCAGGCUGGUUAGCGGCGGUGCCCUGGUAAGCCACAGCUACCGGUGCAUGCGAGGAGGGGGCUGAGGUCCAGGCAGCCACCGCAGGACCGUCCCUGUCCUGCUCCAGGCAUAUGCGGGGAACGUGAGCUGCAGCCCAGCCAGCUUCAGCCCUGUUCUCCUGGGGGCUGCCCCGGCCGGGUGGCUGUUGCAGGACCCCCCAUCGGCAGUCACAGCACUUCCCCUAAACAGGGAUGAUGCCGACUCCUCUCCAGCAAGCAAGCCAAUUCUCUGUGAAACCACCAAUUUACAGCCACCAGUGUCCUCCCGCAGCAGAACCACGUUCACACGGUUCAACACUACCAUCCUCGUCAGGCUCCGUCUGUUUUAGCUUGCAGAGAUGUAACAACAGUUUUCUAAUGCCGGGAUGGUCACGGCUGCAUUUGUUUCAGUUUUACUUAACACUAUAAUUGUGUGAUAGAGCUUUUGUAUAUGGAGUAGUAAAAAGCUGCUCUGUGUAGCACAAAGUAUUUGUGGCCAAAGUGUAAAGGUGCAGUUACAGAGAGUACGGGUAUGGAUGAGAGAGGGCUGCAGGACCAUCCUGGAGACACCAGGGCUUCAAACCCUACCGUCACACAACUCCAGUGGCCGCUUACUGCUGGAUAAAAAAAACUUGGGAGUUCAGCAAAAACGAAUUCAGGGGUAACAAAGAGCAAUUACUCAAUAUAAAUAAAUCAAGCGUUAGCUAUGCUAUUGCUGAAA